GACGAACGCUGGCGGCAUGCCUAAUACAUGCAAGUCGAGCGAACGGAUGAAGUGCUUGCACUUCUGACGUUAGCGGCGAACGGGUGAGUAACACGUAAGGAAUCUACCUAUAAGCGGGGGAUAACAUUCGGAAACGGGUGCUAAUACCGCAUAAUAUCUUCUUCCGCAUGGAAGAAGAUUGAAAGACGGCUCUGCUGUCACUUACAGAUGACCUUGCGGUGCAUUAGUGAGUUGGUGGGGUAAUGGCCUACCAAGACGAUGAUGCAUAGCCGACCUGAGAGGGUGAUCGGCCACAUUGGGACUGAGACACGGCCCAAACUCCUACGGGAGGCAGCAGUAGGGAAUCUUCCGCAAUGGGCGAAAGCCUGACGGAGCAAUGCCGCGUGAGUGAAGAAGGCCUUCGGGUCGUAAAACUCUGUUAUAAGAGAAGAACAAAUUGUAGAGUAACUGCUACGGUCUUGACGGUAUCUUAUCAGAAAGUCACGGCUAACUACGUGCCAGCCGCCGCAGUAA
rnacentral:rRNA from 1 species